rnacentral:rRNA from 1 species
GACUGCAUGAAGCCGGAAUCGCUGUAAUCGCGGAUCAGAAUGCCGCGGCGAAUACGUUCCCGGGUCUUGUACACACCGCCCGUCACACCAUGGGAGUCGGAAAUGCCCGAAGCCGGUGGCCUAACCGAUAAGGGAGGAGCCGUCGAAGGCAGGUCUGAUGACUGGGGUGAAGUCGUAACAAGGUAUC